CCUCUCUCUCCCUUGAAUUUUCAUGCUCGCAUCCCCUCCUUUUGGGCAUCAAAAUCUGAUCCAUAUCAGCCUUUUUACCAUUCCUUUAGACCCACAUUUUAAAUAGGCAAAGGGGAUAGGGUUAGGUGAAGAGAUAAGAGUCCAAAGAUCAUGGGACUCUUGCUUUAUGAUGUGCCCACAACUAAUUCUUUUGCGCCCCAUAUAUCUCACGGA
rnacentral:lncRNA from 1 species